rnacentral:rRNA from 1 species
GACGAACGCUGGCGGCGUGCUUAACACAUGCAAGUCGAACGGUAAGGCCCUUCGGGGUACACCAGUGGCGAACGGGUGAGUAACACGUGGGUGAUCUGCCCUGCACUUCGGGAUAAGCCUGGGAAACUGGGUCUAAUACCGGAUAGGACUCCUGGCUGCAUGGUUGGGGGUGGAAAGCUUUUGCGGUGUGGGAUGGGCCCGCGGCCUAUCAGCCUGUUGGUGGGGUAAUGGCCUACCAAGGCGACGACGGGUAGCCGGCCUGAUGAGGGUGACCGGUCACACUGGGACUGAGAUACGGCCCAGACUCCUACGGGAGGCAGCAGUGGGGAAUAUUGCACAAUGGGCGCAAGCCUGAUGCAGCGACGCCGCGUGAGGGAUGACGGCCUUCGGCUCGUAAACUGCUUUUGUCAGGGAAAAAAUCUGAUGGUACCUGAAGAAUAAGUGGUUGCUAACUCUGUGCCAGCAGCCGCAGUAA